rnacentral:sRNA from 1 species
UUGGAAUUUCUCGAUACGUGUCCAACAGAUGUUUUCUCCAUUAAACCAAAUUCAAUACCAUAUUGCCAACACAGAUAGAUGGUUGCGUUUUGAAGUCUCCUUAGGUACAAUCAAUAAGGCCACAAUGAUGGUUCUUUUAGGUUUAUAUUGAGAAUCUUUCGAUUCUCUUAACGGUUUUUGUUUUAAACCAUUCUUCACUGUUCUGGUUGAACAGUGGAGUGUUUUGUUUUCUUUUCCCCUUAUCAGGACUCUAUAUAUACAGAGUCUCUUUUCCCCAUUCCCGGUUAAUGAAAUCAUACACUUUGUAUUUUGAAUGUAUUCAGUUUUAAUAAAAGAAGGGGUUUUUCUUACUCACCAUUUCAAGAUCUUCAUCUUUGCCUUCUGCACCGAGAGCAUCCACGGCCGUGCCGGAGCUUCUCAGGCCGCCAACGUCCGUCUCGCUUUCUUCUUCUCUUCAGAGAGUCUCUGAUAUUUCUCUCUCUGUUUCUCAUUCCUCUUUUCACAAAUGCCACGCGUACACAAUAUCAAACCACGUUUACAAUCUUAUGGGCCAAAUGGUAAAUGGGCUUGUAAGUGCACAGUAUCUGGACCAAAUUAAUAUGGUAUCAGAGCAGGUCUAGUGCCUGCUCUGCUUCCGUUGCCACCGCUGCUGUUUCUUGGUUCUUCUUGGGCUGGAUUCUUGGGUCUUCUUUUACUGGGUUUCUUGGUAUCUUUUUGCUGCCAUGGAUCAAUUUGACCAAUUUGACCAAUUUUCCAAUCCUGCCAGUCCAUUCUAUCUGCACCCGGGAGAAAACCCAGGAACACCACCACACAUCCAUGGAGGAUGAGUACCAAGAAGAGGAAGGAAGGAUACUUGAUGCAUGGAAUAUUGAAGAAAUUCGUGAAGAUAUAAUCUCUUCACAGGAUAUACUUGGCUCCAUAAGUACAAAUGGCAUCCACUGUGGGACUAAAGUAUAAAUUGUGAAGAAAGUGUUUCGUAUAACGAUUAAAGUGUCUACGUCAGUCAAUAACUACCAUGUCAUUCACUGAUUGCUCAACUGAAU